GUGUUGUGUUGUAAGGGCACACGGUGGAUGCCUUGGCAUCAGGAGGCCGAUGAAGGACGUGAGAGGCUGCGAAAUGCCUCGGGGAGCUGCCAACUAAGCGUUGAUCCGAGGGUGUCCGAAUGGGGAAACCUGGCCGUCGUUAUGGGCGGUCGCCGCCAGAUGAAUUCAUAGUCUGGUUGGUGGUUACGCGGGGAAGUGAAACAUCUCAGUACCCGUAGGAAGAGAAAACAAUUGUGAUUCCGUUAGUAGUGGCGAGCGAACGCGGAUGAGGCUAAACCGCAUGCGUGUGAUACCUGGCAGGGGUUGCGUGUGUGGUGUUGUGGGGUUUAUGCGUGCAUGGUCUGCCAGCUGUGCGCCGACAGUGGUUGUGGUUAGCGGAAAGUGCGUGGAAUCGCCUGCCGUAGACGGUGAGAGCCCGGUACGUGAAAGCUAUUGACCUGUUGGUUGCGUUUGUCCCCGAGUAGCAGCGGGCCCGUGAAAUCUGCUGUGAAUCUGCCGGGACCACCCGGUAAGCCUGAAUACCUCCUGUGACCGAUAGCGGAUAGUACCGUGAGGGAAUGGUGAAAAGUACCCCGGGAGGGGAGUGAAAUAGUACCUGAAACCGUGUGCUUACAAUCCGUCAGAGCCUCUUUGUGGGGUGAUGGCGUGCCUUUUGAAGAAUGAGCCUGCGAGUCAGCGGCACGUCGCGAGGUUAACCCGUGUGGGGUAGCCGUAGCGAAAGCGAAUACUAACUAGUGUGUUUAGUGGCGUGUCCUGGACCCGAAGCGGAGUGAUCUACCCAUGGCCAGUGUGAAGCAGAGGUAAGACUCUGUGGAGGCGCGAACCCACUUAGGUUGAAAACUGAGGGGAUGAGUUGUGGGUAGGGGUGAAAGGCCAAUCAAACUCCGUGAUAGCUGGUUCUCCCCGAAAUGCAUUUAGGUGCAGCGUCGUGUGUUUCCUCCUGGAGGUAGAGCUACUGGUUGGUUUAGCGGGACUAUCAUCUUAGCGACAUCAGCCAAACUCCGAAUGCCGGUGAGGUUAGAGCACGGCAGUGAGACUGCGGGGGAUAAGCUUCGUAGUCGAGAGGGAAACAGCCCAGAUCGCCGGCUAAGGCCCCUAAGGGUAUGCUAAGUGGAAAAGGAUGUGGGAUCGCGAAGACAACCAGGAGGUUGGCUUAGAAGCAGCCAUCCUUGAAAGAGUGCGUAAUAGCUCACUGGUCGAGUGGUCCUGCGCCGACAAUGUAGUGGGGCUCAAGCAUACCGCCGAAGCCGCGGCAAUCAGUCCUUGUGGCUGGUUGGGUAGGGGAGCGUCGUGUUCGGCUGUGAAGCUACGGGGUGACCUGUGGUGGAGUGGACACGAGUGAGAAUGCAGGCAUGAGUAGCGAAUGAGGAGUGGAAAACUCCUCCGCCGGAUGACCAAGGGUUCCUGGGCCAGGUUAAUCCUCCCAGGGUGAGUCGGGACCUAAGGCGAGGCCGACAGGCGUAGUCGAUGGACAACGGGUUGAUAUUCCCGUACCCGCACAAUCGCGCCCAUGGUGAAUCAGUGAUACUAACCCUCCUGAAGCAUCCUUUC
rnacentral:rRNA from 1 species